GUGCAUUUCCUUACCGCCCGAUAGACACCUGCUAGAUGCUACUUGUAGCCAGCAAGGCUAAUGUUGUCUGUUUUAGCAAAGUUAGCUCACUGUAAGCGCUAGCUCCCUGUUAGCUCGUAAGCAGUCUGUUAGCUCGUUAGCUGCCUGUAAGCUCGUUAGCUGCCUGUUAGCUCGUUAGCUGCCCGUUAGCUCCCUGUUAGCUCGUUAGCUGCCUGUAAGCUCCUUAGCAGCCUGUUAGCUCCUUAGCAGUCUGUUAGCUCGUAAGCAGCCUGUUAGCUCC